AAUUUAUAUAGUAUAAAAAUUAUUACUAACUUCCAAUUAGAAGAUCUUUAAAUAUUAAAGUAUAAAU
rnacentral:tRNA from 1 species